rnacentral:lncRNA from 1 species
CACUCAAUGGAUACAAUACCCUCAGAUGGAUCCACUAAGGUCCAGACUUGGUUCGAGUACAUUAAGUCAAUUUCUGACUUCAUAGUAUUUAAUCAUUUUUCGAAAUCGAUAUCAGACAUUGUCUCAUCAAAGAUGGUAGGAUCAUCACUAUGACCCCUAUCUCCCAUAAGGAACAUUUCCUUUACUUCUUUUGUAAGCAAACUCAUGUACCUUUCA